GUGCUCGCUUCGACAGCACAUGUAUUAACAUUGCAACGAUACAGAGAAGAUUAGCAUGGGCCCUGCGCAAAGACCACAUGCAAAUUUGUGACAUGUUCCAUAUAUUU
ensembl:snRNA U6 U6 spliceosomal RNA